rnacentral:rRNA from 1 species
UACGAAGGGGGGCUAGCGUUGUUCGGAAUUACUGGGCGUAAAGCGCACGUAGGCGGAUAUUUAAGUCAGGGGUGAAAUCCCAGAGCUCAACUCUGGAACUGCCUUUGAUACUGGGUAUCUUGAGUAUGGAAGAGGUAAGUGGAAUUGCGAGUGUAGAGGUGAAAUUCGUAGAUAUUCGCAGGAACACCAGUGGCGAAGGCGGCUCACUGGCCCGAUACUGACGCUGAGGAGCGAAAGCAUGGGGAGCGAACAGG